UGAGGAAUAUUGGUCAAUGGACGCAAGUCUGAACCAGCCAUGCCGCGUGCAGGAAGAAUGCUCUAUGAGUUGUAAACUGCUUUUGUACGAGGGUAACCCUAUCUACGAGUAGAUAGCUGAAAGUAUCGUAUGAAUAAGGGUCGGCUAACUCCGUGCCAGCAGCCGCGGUAAUACGGAGGACCCGAGCGUUAUCCGGAUUUAUUGGGUUUAAAGGGUGCGUAGGCUGUUUUAUAAGUUAGAGGUGAAAUGUCAAUGCUUAACAUUGAAACUGCCUCUAAUACUGUAGAACUAGAGUGUGGUUGCGGAUGGCGGAAUGUGUAGUGUAGCGGUGAAAUGCUUAGAUAUUACACAGAACACCGAUUGCGAAGGCAGCUGUCCAAGCCACAACUGACGCUGAGGCACGAAAGCGUGGGUAGCGAACA
rnacentral:rRNA from 1 species